CGCGCGCACUCUACGUAGCAGCGCGGAUUCUGUAGGAGGAGAAAAAGGGGACACGUUUGCUUUCUGUUCGCCGGUUAACGACCAAUAACCCGAGCGUUCAGGCCGCCGGGGCGGGUUAAACGUUAACCGUCUCUCUUCGUUAUAUUAACGUCACUCUCUCCCGCUGCGGUUCGGUGACGCGGCGGCAUUCUGCGCACGGUGACAGAUGAAAGUAGCAAUGACUGAAAAGCAUGGCUGACAAACAGGAUAAUGAAGGUAAAAGGAGCUCGCACUGCACUGCAUUGCACGCCUGCAUCCCAAGAACAGCCCUGCCCAUUGUGUACCACCCAGACUACAACAUCACCUUCAUGGGCCUUGAAAAGCUCCACCCGUUUGAUGCUGGGAAGUGGGGGAAAGUCAUUCACUUCUUGAAAGAGGAGCAGUUUGUCACUGACGGGAAUAUCGUGGAAGCCCUGGAAGCGACCGAAGAGGACCUGCUGGUGGUUCACACUCAACGCUACCUGAACAGAUUAAAGUGGUCGCUGGUGGUGGCGGCGAUCACAGAAAUCCCACCUCUGAUGUUUCUGCCUAAUUUCCUUGUGCAGCGGAGAGUGUUGAGGCCUUUGCGGACACAGACUGGGGGAACAAUAAUGGCAGCAAAGCUGGCCGUCGACCGAGGAUGGGCCAUAAACGUAGGAGGAGGCUUCCACCACUGCUCCAGCGACAAGGGAGGGGGCUUCUGCGCCUACGCCGACAUCACUCUGGCCAUCAAGUUCCUGUUCGAGCGAGUGGAAGGCAUCUCCAGGGCUACCAUCAUCGAUCUGGACGCUCAUCAGGGAAACGGACACGAGCGUGAUUUCCUGGACGACGGGCGGGUGUACAUCAUGGACGUGUAUAACCGCCACAUAUAUCCUGGGGACGGUUAUGCCAAGCGAGCCAUAAAGAGGAAGGUGGAGCUCGACUGGGGCACCGAGGACUCCGAGUACCUCCAGAAAGUAGAGCUGCACACCGACGGGGCGCUGAAUGAGGUCCGCCCCGACAUCCUCGUCUACAACGCGGGGACGGACGUCUUGGACGGAGACCCCCUCGGAGGACUCUCUAUAUCACCAGAGGGCAUCAGGAAGCGGGACGAGAUCGUGUUCCGGGCCGCCAGGCGACGGGGCGUCCCCAUACUCAUGGUGACGUCCGGGGGUUACCAGAAGAAAACCGCUCGCAUCAUCGCCGACUCCAUCCUCAACCUUCGCCUUCAGGGCCUGAUCGGAGCGGAGGCCCUGGAGGGGGAGGGUUCAUCGCCGCCGCCGCCGGCGACCAGCAUGAUGCUCUCCUCCGCUGCGUCCGCCGCGGUCUGAGACGCUGUGACCACCGCUCACAUUCAAAGACGCUCCGCUUGGACGGGGCCAGCUGGAGGUUCAGGCAUUUGAUCCGGAUUCCUCACGCUGGUUUAUUUGUGCUCAUCCGACUGGUAGAAGGUCUGAGAAUCCACAGGAGAACUUGGACAACUUUCCCGGCCUCCAGGGAUCAUGGCGAAAAUAAAAGAACUUGAUAGAAUCUGUUGUGACGGAGCCCUUUUCAUGAACAUCAGCCCUCAAGAACGUGCGCAGGAUCGUCUCCUGGGCAGUUUCUGUAGAUUCCGUAGACAUGUGCGAUCAUCAGGCCGGGCGGUGUGAGCUUUGUUGAGGAGCAGCGGUUCAUCCGUGUUGGUUGGCCGGAGAGCGAAACGUUUGGCCGGAUGAAUCGAUGGGAGCACAGUUGGCUUCUUUGCCCCGUCGCCAUCCCCGUCCCGAGAGAGAGAGCAGCUGCUCCUCCAACCAGAAGCUCCGGGAAACUUUCCAGCUCGACGAAAGCGUUUGACCGGCAUAUUGUCCAAAGUUUAAACGUUCCUUCCUGAUGAAUUUGAUCAAAGAGGGAAAUCUGGAGAGGAGACCAAAUCUCCUUCUUUAACCACCUGGCUUAGUGUGUGAAUCUGUCGCAAUAUUGUGUCUUGUGUGAGAAACUCUUGACAACAGCAUCAAUUAGCAGUGUUUUCUCCACUGAGUGCUUUCUUAAGAGGCUUAAAUGGUGUUAAAUGAACCGACGUGCUCCACUUUGCUUCUGUUAAAGAACUUUGAUCUAAAUUCAUAUUAGGAAUGAUGCUUCAGCAGUCUACAACGAUAAAAAACAGAAGCAAGUCAGCAUCUUUGCACUUCCCCACGUCUUUGUCUCUGUUUUUAGUUCAGGUCAGUUGUUGAUGCAAGCUGAAGAGAUUUUAACGCUGUGAAAAUGAAUCAAUGGUCUCAAUCACUAGUUUCAAGUCUUCUCCUAUACAGCACGAUGUCCAUUUAGUAGAUGAUGGUACAUUUAGAGUCUAUAAACUUAACCCAAAAGAACAGUAAUCAGUCACCUUUUUCUUUUUUUUAAUAUACUUUCCCGCCUUUUUGUGUUUCCUCACCUUUGCGGUUGACCUUACCGCCCCUUAGCUCACCUGUGUGUGAUCACUUGGCCCUCACGUGUGUCUCCUGUUUCAGUGUGUGUGUGUGGAGAAACAGAACGGAGCCCUUAACCUGUCUUUCCUUUCAGUCGUUACACAUAUUGCUCCAUAGGCGAAGGUACAGGAAGCUGACUGAAACACCGUCACGUUCCGUAUUCAUACAUACUACUAUCUCCAUUUCCCCCGUAUUUCUUAUGAUUGUGAUUUAAUUUGUAUACAACCCACAAUAUAAUAAUGCUGUCUUUGGAAAAUGAUUUAUUGGCAAAGAAAAUCGAAUUUGUCAACUUGACUGAACAAAAUCAUGAUAGAUGAUACAGAAAGUGUUUUGUGUCGUUUCCCUCACUGACUUUAACUGUAUUCAUAAUAAAAGUUACACAUUUUCUCAUAAACUAACCACAUUUAUGGGCGGUUGUGUUACA